GUGGGAUUAGCUAGUUGGUGAGGUAAUGGCUCACCAAGGCGACGAUCCCUAGCUGUUCUGAGAGGAUGAUCAGCCACACUGGGACUGAGGCACGGCCCAGACUCCUACGGGAGGCAGCAGUGGGGAAUAUUGCACAAUGGGGGAAACCCUGAUGCAGCCAUGCCGCGUGUGUGAAGAAGGCCUUCGGGUUGUAAAGCACUUUCAGUAGGGAGGAAAGGGUGAGUCUUAAUACGGCUCAUCUGUGACGUUACCUACAGAAGAAGGACCGGCUAACUCCGUGCCAGCAGCCGCGGUAAUACGGAGGGUCCGAGCGUUAAUCGGAAUUACUGGGCGUAAAGCGUGCGCAGGCGGUUUGUUAAGCGAGAUGUGAAAGCCCUGGGCUCAACCUAGGAAUAGCAUUUCGAACUGGCGAACUAGAGUCUUGUAGAGGGGGGUAGAAUUCCAGGUGUAGCGGUGAAAUGCGUAGAGAUCUGGAGGAAUACCGGUGGCGAAGGCGGCCCCCUGGACAAAGACUGACGCUCAUGCACGAAAGCGUGGGGAGCAAACAGGAUUAGAUACCCUGGUAGUCCACGCCGUAAACGAUGUC
rnacentral:rRNA from 1 species